CCUACGGGUGGCAGCAGUGAGGAAUAUUGGUCAAUGGGCUUACGCCUGAACCAGCCAAGUCGCGUGAGGGAAUACUGCCCUAUGGGUUGUAAACCUCUUUUGUCGGGGAGCAACGGCGGCUACGUGUACCCGCACUGAGAGUACCCGGAGAAAAAGCAUCGGCUAACUCCGUGCCAGCAGCCGCGGUAAUACGGAGGAUGCGAGCGUUAUCCGGAUUUAUUGGGUUUAAAGGGUGCGUAGGCGGGCUGUCAAGUCAGCGGUAAAAAUUCGGGGCUCAACCACGUCCCGCCGUUGAAACUGGGGUUCUUGAGUGGGCGAGAAGAAUGCGGAAUGCGUGGUGUAGCGGUGAAAUGCAUAGAUAUCACGCAGAACUCCGAUUGCGAAGGCAGCAUACCGGCGCCCUACUGACGCUGAGGCACGAAAGCGCGGGGAUCGAACAGGAUUAGAUACCCGAGUAGUC
rnacentral:rRNA from 1 species